rnacentral:rRNA from 1 species
GAUGAACGCUCGCUACAGGCUUAACACAUGCAAGUCGAGGGGCAGCAUGAUUGAAGCUUGCUUCAAUCGAUGGCGACUGGCGCACGGGUGAGUAACACGUAUCCAACCUGCCGAUAACUCGGGGAUAGCCUUUCGAAAGAAAGAUUAAUACCCAAUAGUAUAGUAUUUCCGCAUGGUUUCACUAUUAAAGAACUUCGGUUAUCGAUGGGGAUGCGUUCUAUUAGAUAGUUGGCGGGGUAACGGCCCACCAAGUCAACGAUGGAUAGGGGUUCUGAGAGGAAGGUACCCCGCAUUGGAGCUGAGACACAGACCAAUAUGCUACGGAGGGGAGCAGUAAGGAAUAUUAGGCGAGGGAGGAGGGUCUGAACCAGCCGAGUAGGGUGAAGGAGGACUGCCGUAGGGGUUGUAAACUUCUGUGAUAGAAGAAUAGAGUGGAGUAUGCAUACUGUUUUGUAUGUACCGUAUGAAUAAGGACCGGCUAACUCCGUG